GACGUAGGGCGCGAGCGUUGUCCGGAUUUAUUGGGCGUAAAGAGCUCGUAGGCGGCUUGUUGCGUCAGCUGUGAAAACCCGCAGCUCAACUGUGGGCUUGCAGCUGAUACGGGCAGGCUUGAGUUCGGUAGGGGAGACUGGAAUUCCUGGUGUAGCGGUGAAAUGCGCAGAUAUCGGGAGGAACACCUGAGGCGAAGGCGGGCUACUGGGCCGAUACUGACGCUGAUGCGCGAAAGCCAGGGGAGCGAACGGG
rnacentral:rRNA from 1 species